GCCAGCGUAGCUCAGGGGUAGAGCAACGGUUUCGUAAACCGUCGGUCGUCAGUUCGAAUCUGACCGCUGGCUCCA
rnacentral:tRNA from 2 species